rnacentral:rRNA from 1 species
CAAUAGCGUAUAUUAAAGUUGUUGCGGUUAAAAAGCUCGUAGUUGGAUUUCUGUUGAGAACAACCGGUCCACCUCUUGGGUGAGUAUCUGGUCUGGUCUCGGCAUCCUCGUUAGAGACGUUAAUGCGCUUCGUUGCGUGUUGCGGAGCUAGCGACUUUACUUUGAGGAAAUUAGAGUGUUCACGGCAGGCAUUCGCCUUGAAUAUAUUAGCAUGGAAUAAUAAUAUAGGACUUUGGUUCUAUUUUGUUGGUUUCUAGGACCGAAGUAAUGAUUAAUAGGGACAGUUGGGGGCAUUCAUAUUCCAUUGUCAGAGGUGAAAUUCUUGGAUUAACGGAAGAUGAACUUCUGCGAAAGCAUCUGCCAAGGAUGUUUUCAUUGAUCAAGAACGAAAGUUAGGGGAUCGAAGACGAUCAGAU